AAAGAUUAAGCCAUGCAUGUCUAUGCACACGCCCUUGAUUGGUGAAGCCGCGAAAAGCUCAUUACAACAGCCAUAGUUUAUUGGAUCUUUACGUUCCUACAAGGAUAUCUGCGGUAAUUCUGGAGCUAAUACUUGCGAAAAACGGCGACCUUACGGAAGUCGUGCAUUUGUUAGACUAAACCAAUCGGUCCUUCGGGACCGUCAUUUGGUGAACUCUGAAUAACUCAGCUGAUCGCACAGUCUCGUACUGGCGACAAAUCCUUCAAGUGUCUGCCUUAUCAACUGUCGAUGGUAGUUUACACGACUACCAUGGUUGUAACGGGUAACGGAGAAUAAGGGUUCGACUCCGGAGAGGGAGCCUGAGAAACGGCUACCACAUCCAAGGAAGGCAGCAGGCGCGCAAAUUACCCACUCUCAGAACGAGGAGGUAGUGACGAAAAAUAACGAGGUGGCCCUCUUUGAGGUCCAUCAUCGGAAUGGGUACAAUUUAAAUCCUUUAACGAGGAUCUAUUGGAGGGCAAGUCUGGUGCCAGCAGCCGCGGUAAUUCCAGCUCCAAUAGCGUAUACUAAAGUUGUUGCGGUUAAAAAGCUCGUAGUUGGAUCUGCGCCAGGUGGAAGCGGUCGCCCGAUGGGUUGUUACUGCUUACCUCUGGCUAACCAUUCGGUUUUCCCUUGAUGCUCUUAAGUGAGUGUCCUGGGUGACCGGAACGUUUACUUUGAAAAAAUUAGAGUGCUCAAAGCAGGCAUUUCGCCCGAAUAUUCGUGCAUGGAAUAAUAAAAGAGGUCCUUGUAGCCUUUUAUUGGUUAUCGCUACGAGGAAAUGAUCGAAGGGGACAGACGGGGGCAUUUGUAUUGCGACGUUAGAGGUGAAAUUCUUGGAUCGUCGCAAGACAAACUACUGCGAAAGCAUUUGCCAAGAAUGUUUUCAUCAAUCAAGAACGAAAGUCUGAGGUUCGACAGCGAUCAGAUACCGCUUUAGUUCAGACCGUAAACGAUGCCAUCUGGCGAUCCGCCGGCGUUAUGUUUGACCCGGCGGGCAGCCACCGGUAAACCUUUAAGUUGGGUUCCGGGGGAAGUAUGGUUGCAAAGCUGAAACUUAAAGGAAUUGACGGAAGGGCACCACCAGGAGUGGAGCCUGCGGCUUAAUUUGACU
rnacentral:rRNA from 1 species